rnacentral:tRNA from 1 species
UCCCUGGUGGUCCAGUGGCUAAGACUUUGCCUUCCAAUGCAAGGGGUUCAGGUUCGACCCCUGGUUGGGGAA